AAUCUCAUAGACCGUCUUUUGAACAAUAAUCUAUUUUUCCCCUUCUGUUCACGUUUACUUAAAACACAACAGACUACAUUAAUCCCAGAUUAAGAUGCAUUUGGUAUUGUUAAAUAUCUUUUUAUUAGUAACUCACAUGAACACCACUAGAUGUGACCUUUUCUACUAGAAUUAAAGCUUAGGUGUAUAAUUAUUGCAAUGCAAUUGUAACCAAGUGGCAUAGGUUUUCCAAACACUCCUUCUGUCUGAAAUCUUUUUGAUCUGAGAAUUACUUAUUUUGUCCUUUGUUGUAUGCAACUGAUUUUUUCUCUCUCUUUAAUAUACAAAGUAUCUGACACCUGACCAGCGGAGGCUACAGGGGACCAGCAUGGAAUGGAAGAGAUUUGAAGAACAUUAAGUCUACAUGUAGGCCAGGAUUUCUUUUCUCCUUCUGUGCUGCGGAUCAUGGCUCUUUUCUUCUCUCCAUCAAUGCAAGAAGCACCUCUGCUAGACCUGUUCUUUAUGAUGGCAGCUCUCACCUGUAGACUCUUGUGGAAGUCUUGUGUGUUCCGAUUGCAUUCUGUGCUGGAAUAUCUGAUAUUCUCUGUCCUUCAUACAACAUCUGUUUGCACUUAUUCUGUAUUGUGCUUAAUUUGCAUUGAUUAUGUUUUCCAAGUGAAAAGUUUGUGAGCUUCUAGAAAUAUGGAUAGAAAGUGGUACACCAGAGUGUGAAAGACAAAUUUGCUGAACUGUUUGACAGCUUUGAACUGAAUAAAUCUAUAAAGCAUCAAUGACCACAGGAA